rnacentral:rRNA from 1 species
GUUAAGCGACUAAGCGUACACGGUGGAUGCCCUGGCAGUCAGAGGCGAUGAAGGACGUGCUAAUCUGCGAUAAGCGUCGGUAAGGUGAUAUGAACCGUUAUAACCGGCGAUUUCCGAAUGGGGAAACCCAGUGUGUUUCGACACACUAUCAUUAACUGAAUCCAUAGGUUAAUGAGGCGAACCGGGGGAACUGAAACAUCUAAGUACCCCGAGGAAAAGAAAUCAACCGAGAUUCCCCCAGUAGCGGCGAGCGAACGGGGAGCAGCCCAGAGCCUGAAUCAGUGUGUGUGUUAGUGGAAGCGUCUGGAAAGGCGCGCGAUACAGGGUGACAGCCCCGUACACAAAAAUGCACAUGCUGUGAGCUCGAUGAGUAGGGCGGGACACGUGGUAUCCUGUCUGAAUAUGGGGGGACCAUCCUCCAAGGCUAAAUACUCCUGACUGACCGAUAGUGAACCAGUACCGUGAGGGAAAGGCGAAAAGAACCCCGGCGAGGGGAGUGAAAAAGAACCUGAAACCGUGUACGUACAAGCAGUGGGAGCACGCUUAGGCGUGUGACUGCGUACCUUUUGUAUAAUGGGUCAGCGACUUAUAUUCUGUAGCAAGGUUAACCGAAUAGGGGAGCCGAAGGGAAACCGAGUCUUAACUGGGCGUUAAGUUGCAGGGUAUAGACCCGAAACCCGGUGAUCUAGCCAUGGGCAGGUUGAAGGUUGGGUAACACUAACUGGAGGACCGAACCGACUAAUGUUGAAAAAUUAGCGGAUGACUUGUGGCUGGGGGUGAAAGGCCAAUCAAACCGGGAGAUAGCUGGUUCUCCCCGAAAGCUAUUUAGGUAGCGCCUCGUGAAUUCAUCUCCGGGGGUAGAGCACUGUUUCGGCAAGGGGGUCAUCCCGACUUACCAACCCGAUGCAAACUGCGAAUACCGGAGAAUGUUAUCACGGGAGACACACGGCGGGUGCUAACGUCCGUCGUGAAGAGGGAAACAACCCAGACCGCCAGCUAAGGUCCCAAAGUCAUGGUUAAGUGGGAAACGAUGUGGGAAGGCCCAGACAGCCAGGAUGUUGGCUUAGAAGCAGCCAUCAUUUAAAGAAAGCGUAAUAGCUCACUGGUCGAGUCGGCCUGCGCGGAAGAUGUAACGGGGCUAAACCAUGCACCGAAGCUGCGGCAGCGACGCUUAUGCGUUGUUGGGUAGGGGAGCGUUCUGUAAGCCUGUGAAGGUGUGCUGUGAGGCAUGCUGGAGGUAUCAGAAGUGCGAAUGCUGACAUAAGUAACGAUAAAGCGGGUGAAAAGCCCGCUCGCCGGAAGACCAAGGGUUCCUGUCCAACGUUAAUCGGGGCAGGGUGAGUCGACCCCUAAGGCGAGGCCGAAAGGCGUAGUCGAUGGGAAACAGGUUAAUAUUCCUGUACUUGGUGUUACUGCGAAGGGGGGACGGAGAAGGCUAUGUUGGCCGGGCGACGGUUGUCCCGGUUUAAGCGUGUAGGCUGGUUUUCCAGGCAAAUCCGGAAAAUCAAGGCUGAGGCGUGAUGACGAGGCACUACGGUGCUGAAGCAACAAAUGCCCUGCUUCCAGGAAAAGCCUCUAAGCAUCAGGUAACAUCAAAUCGUACCCCAAACCGACACAGGUGGUCAGGUAGAGAAUACCAAGGCGCUUGAGAGAACUCGGGUGAAGGAACUAGGCAAAAUGGUGCCGUAACUUCGGGAGAAGGCACGCUGAUAUGUAGGUGAAGUCCCUUGCGGAUGGAGCUGAAAUCAGUCGAAGAUACCAGCUGGCUGCAACUGUUUAUUAAAAACACAGCACUGUGCAAACACGAAAGUGGACGUAUACGGUGUGACGCCUGCCCGGUGCCGGAAGGUUAAUUGAUGGGGUCAGCGCAAGCGAAGCUCUUGAUCGAAGCCCCGGUAAACGGCGGCCGUAACUAUAACGGUCCUAAGGUAGCGAAAUUCCUUGUCGGGUAAGUUCCGACCUGCACGAAUGGCGUAAUGAUGGCCAGGCUGUCUCCACCCGAGACUCAGUGAAAUUGAACUCGCUGUGAAGAUGCAGUGUACCCGCGGCAAGACGGAAAGACCCCGUGAACCUUUACUAUAGCUUGACACUGAACAUUGAGCCUUGAUGUGUAGGAUAGGUGGGAGGCUUUGAAGUGUGGACGCCAGUCUGCAUGGAGCCGACCUUGAAAUACCACCCUUUAAUGUUUGAUGUUCUAACGUUGACCCGUAAUCCGGGUUGCGGACAGUGUCUGGUGGGUAGUUUGACUGGGGCGGUCUCCUCCUAAAGAGUAACGGAGGAGCACGAAGGUUGGCUAAUCCUGGUCGGACAUCAGGAGGUUAGUGCAAUGGCAUAAGCCAGCUUGACUGCGAGCGUGACGGCGCGAGCAGGUGCGAAAGCAGGUCAUAGUGAUCCGGUGGUUCUGAAUGGAAGGGCCAUCGCUCAACGGAUAAAAGGUACUCCGGGGAUAACAGGCUGAUACCGCCCAAGAGUUCAUAUCGACGGCGGUGUUUGGCACCUCGAUGUCGGCUCAUCACAUCCUGGGGCUGAAGUAGGUCCCAAGGGUAUGGCUGUUCGCCAUUUAAAGUGGUACGCGAGCUGGGUUUAGAACGUCGUGAGACAGUUCGGUCCCUAUCUGCCGUGGGCGCUGGAGAACUGAGGGGGGCUGCUCCUAGUACGAGAGGACCGGAGUGGACGCAUCACUGGUGUUCGGGUUGUCAUGCCAAUGGCACUGCCCGGUAGCUAAAUGCGGAAGAGAUAAGUGCUGAAAGCAUCUAAGCACGAAACUUGCCCCGAGAUGAGUUCUCCCUGACUCCUUGAGAGUCCUGAAGGAACGUUGAAGACGACGACGUUGAUAGGCCGGGUGUGUAAGCGCAGCGAUGCGUUGAGCUAACCGGUACUAAUGAACCGUGAGG